rnacentral:rRNA from 1 species
AUUGAACGCUGGUGGCAGGCCUAACACAUGCAAGUCGAACGGUAACAGGAAACAGCUUGCUGUUUCGCUGACGAGUGGCGGACGGGUGAGUAAUGUCUGGGAAACUGCCUGAUGGAGGGGGAUAACUACUGGAAACGGUAGCUAAUACCGCAUAACGUCGCAAGACCAAAGAGGGGGACCCUCGGGCCUCUUGCCAUCGGAUGUGCCCAGAUGGGAUUAGCUUGUUGGUGGGGUAACGGCUCACCAAGGCGACGAUCCCUAGCUGGUCUGAGAGGAUGACCAGUCACACUGGAACUGAGACACGGUCCAGACUCCUACGGGAGGCAGCAGUGGGGAAUAUCGCACAAUGGGCGCAAGCCUGAUGCAGCCAUGCCGCGUGUAUGAAGAAGGCCUUCGGGUUGUAAAGUACUUUCAGCGGGGAGGAAGGGAGUAAAGUUAAUACCUUUGCUCAUUGACGUUACCCGCAGAAGAAGCACCGGCUAACUCCGUGCCAGCAGCCGCGGUAAUACGGAGGGUGCAAGCGUUAAUCGGAAUUACUGGGCGUAAAGCGCACGCAGGCGGUUUGUUAAGUCAGAUGUGAAAUCCCCGGGCUCAACCUGGGAACUGCAUCUGAUACUGGCAAGCUUGAGUCUCGUAGAGGGGGGUAGAAUUCCAGGUGUAGCGGUGAAAUGCGUAGAGAUCUGGAGGAAUACCGGUGGCGAAGGCGGCCCCCUGGACGAAGACUGACGCUCAGGUGCGAAAGCGUGGGGAGCAAACAGGAUUAGAUACCCUGGUAGUCCACGCCGUAAACGAUGUCGACUUGGAGGUUGUGCCCUUGAGGCGUGGCUUCCGGAGCUAACGCGUUAAGUCGACCGCCUGGGGAGUACGGCCGCAAGGUUAAAACUCAAAUGAAUUGACGGGGGCCCGCACAAGCGGUGGAGCAUGUGGUUUAAUUCGAUGCAACGCGAAGAACCUUACUUGGUCUUGACAUCCACGGAAGUUUUCAGAGAUGAGAAUGUGCCUUCGGGAACCGUGAGACAGGUGCUGCAUGGCUGUCGUCAGCUCGUGUUGUGAAAUGUUGGGUUAAGUCCCGCAACGAGCGCAACCCUUAUCCUUUGUUGCCAGCGGUCCGGCCGGGAACUCAAAGGAGACUGCCAGUGAUAAACUGGAGGAAGGUGGGGAUGACGUCAAGUCAUCAUGGCCCUUACGACCAGGGCUACACACGUGCUACAAUGGCGCAUACAAAGAGAAGCGACCUCGCGAGAGCAAGCGGACCUCAUAAAGUGCGUCGUAGUCCGGAUUGGAGUCUGCAACUCGACUCCAUGAAGUCGGAAUCGCUAGUAAUCGUGGAUCAGAAUGCCACGGUGAAUACGUUCCCGGUCAA